UGUGUGUGUGAGGUGUUCUAUCUUCAUCCACAGCAAAGGCAACCCCGCAACCCCCUUUCUCUUCAUCUUCAUUAUCAGAAACCCCUUUAUAUGUAUCUUCAUUUUGAUCAUCACUACCACCAGUGGCGGUCACCAAAACCAGUCCUUCAUCUCUCUCUCUCUCUCUGAUUUCCAUUACCAUCACCAGUGUCAAUCACCCAUCGCCGAUCGCGAAGUUCGAUGGAACACCACUGUUUAGAACACCACCGAUCGCAAAGUUUGAUGACACAAGCCCUAGAGGUUAAUGGAGGUUCAGAUGAAAAACAAGUUCAUCAAUCAUAUUGGAAUCCAGGGAUGAUGGAAUUACGACAAGGCUUGAUGAUUCGCUAAGUCCGUUUAUGAUUUAUAAGGGAUGGAUUAUGAUUUAGACC